rnacentral:rRNA from 1 species
GAUGAACGCUGGCGGCGUGCCUAAUACAUGCAAGUCGAGCGAACAGAUGAGGAGCUUGCUCCUCUGACGUUAGCGGCGGACGGGUGAGUAACACGUGGAUAACCUACCUAUAAGACUGGGAUAACUUCGGGAAACCGGAGCUAAUACCGGAUAAUAUAUUGAACCGCAUGGUUCAAUAGUGAAAGACGGUUUUGCUGUCACUUAUAGAUGGAUCCGCGCCGCAUUAGCUAGUUGGUAAGGUAACGGCUUACCAAGGCAACGAUGCGUAGCCGACCUGAGAGGGUGAUGGGCCACACUGGAACUGAGACACGGUCCAGACUCCUACGGGAGGCAGCAGUAGGGAAUCUUCCGCAAUGGGCGAAAGCCUGACGGAGCAACGCCGCGUGAGUGAUGAAGGUCUUCGGAUCGUAAAACUCUGUUAUUAGGGAAGAACAAAUGUGUAAGUAACGAUGCACGUCUUGACGGUACCUAAGCAGAAAACCACGGCUAACUACGU